CGGGCCCCCCCCCCCCCGCCACGGGCUGCGACGUGCCUGUGUCCCAGGGGCGUCAGACCACGGGGGUGUCAGACCACCGAGACGGGGGAGGGAGGCGGAAGGGGGGAGCAGCGGAUGUGGACACGGGCGACCGGCACCCGUCACCUUGGUGCCGUCUGUGUGUGUGUGCGUGUGUGUGUGUGUGUGCGUGCGUGUGUGUGUGUGUGUGCGUGCAUGUGUCUGUGUGUGUGCCUGUGUGUGUGUGUGCGUGUCUGUGUGUGUGCGUGCGUGUGCCUGUGUGUGUGCGUGCGUGUGUCUGUGUGCACACGGGCAGUGGGCCUGCCCCUGAGGCUGUUUCUGGACGCCGGAUCUGCUGGCCGUGGGAGACGGCGGUCCCGCCUGUUCCUGCCGCGUGGGGCCGCCCGUCAGGUGUGGGAAUCCGUUCUCGUUCCUCCCUGGAGACUCUCCGUCUGCAGCGUUGAAGUGGGGAGCCGGGUGGGGAGUCGUGGGGGACGUGCCCUCCGGGGCGUGUGCGCGGUGGUGGCCGAGCCCCCCGCCGGCUGGGCCCUCCCUGCCCUGCGUGCUGCAGGCUGUGGGGUCCGGGUGGGUGCGGGCAGGGGCGCGGGGCUGGGGGGGGGCCCUGUUCCCUGGCGCAGGGCCGCCGCGUCUCCGAGCCGGAGGCCAGGCCAGAGGGUUCCUGAGAGGACAGCGCAGAAGCCAGAGCCGUGGGAGGUUUAAAAAAGAACCCACACAAAUUAAAAUAUGAGUCUGACGCCGAGGUCCCGCUGACCUUUGGAAAACGCACGCGUGUACGUGCACACACACGCAGGAGCUUCCCGUGGCUGCCGGGACGUCGUGCUGCCCGCCGAGGGGAGGCAGGGGUCCGAGGAAUUUACUUCAGGGGAUGCGGACAAGCAACGGAGCAGAAAGCGGAGGUCGUCAGAGCCCGUCCCGCAGGAGGGAGCCCGGGUCUGGGCGCUCAGCCGCCGCGGCUCCUGCCGGGUCCACCUGCCUCCCGCGGCCGAGGGUCACGGCUGCGCGUGCUUGGCGGUGGGCGCGGGGCCGUGCGCCGUGCUUUCCCCAGACGGGCCCCUUCACGAGAUCCCACCUCGGCGCCCCCGGGGCUCCCGCCACGCGUGCACGGCUCCUGGGGAUGUGGUCACGGGUGUAGUUUCCCCCGACACGGCUGCACGCGGGCGAGGGCGAGGCCCUGCUUGUCCUGGGACGGGACUCGGCCCAGCUCCGUGCCGCGCCGCCUGGCAGGGCCGGAGACGCCGAGGCUCCGCCGGGAGGCCGUCCAGAAUCCGGCGGGAAGGCGGCAGGUGGCAGCGCCGGUUACAGAACCCAGUGGGGGUUGAGAGCUCAGUGUGGGGU